UACGAUGAAACGCAAAAAUUCAAGCAUAGUUCACACUGAAACUAUCGUGUUGACAACUAAGCAUCAUGUCUUUCGCUCCUAUCUGAUCAUUUCC
rnacentral:snoRNA from 1 species